AGCUUGCUCUUAUGGGUGGCGAGUGGCGGACGGGUGAGGAAUACAUCGGAAUCUACCUUUUCGUGGGGGAUAACGUAGGGAAACUUACGCUAAUACCGCAUACGACCUUCGGGUGAAAGCAGGGGACCUUCGGGCCUUGCGCGGAUAGAUGAGCCGAUGUCGGAUUAGCUAGUUGGCGGGGUAAAGGCCCACCAAGGCGACGAUCCGUAGCUGGUCUGAGAGGAUGAUCAGCCACACUGGAACUGAGACACGGUCCAGACUCCUACGGGAGGCAGCAGUGGGGAAUAUUGGACAAUGGGCGCAAGCCUGAUCCAGCCAUACCGCGUGGGUGAAGAAGGCCUUCGGGUUGUAAAGCCCUUUUGUUGGGAAAGAAAAGCAGUCGGCUAAUACCCGGUUGUUCUGACGGUUCCCAUUUAAUAAGCACCGGCUAACUCCCCCGCCCGCAGCCGCGGUAAUACGAAGGGAGCAAGCGUUACUCGGAAUUACUGGGCGUAAAGCGUGCGUAGGUGGUUGUUUAAGUCUGUUGUGAAAGCCCUGGGCUCAACCUGGGAAUUGCAGUGGAUACUGGGCGACUAGAGUGUGGUAGAGGGUAGUGGAAUUCCCGGUGUAGCAGUGAAAUGCGUAGAGAUCGGGAGGAACAUCCAUGGCGA
rnacentral:rRNA from 1 species